AGUUAGACCAAUGCAGAAUAUUUCUCACUGAAAAAAUAUGGAAAAUAAUUUUCCUAUUAUGAGUGACCGCUGGGGUAAUAAAUAUGUUUUAAAUAUGAUUGUUUACAGUUUCAGUGUCUAUAAUUGUGGGGGCCAAAGCCUGUUGCCACCGUGACAAGAAGAAGUAGACUAAAAUCUACAUGCGUUGUUAACAGAUACAGUGAAAAUGGCCACUUAACUGCAGACGACAAAUCACUUUCAACACAACUUUACUUAAUUUUGUACUUUUGAAAUAAAAUGUCUUAAGUAUG